ACUCAGCCUUGCUCUAGCCUGGAGCAUUCAUAUUAACCUAUCCUGUCCUCUGUUUGGACUCUCCAGUUCCUGACCUUUGGCCUGACUUGGACUAUGAACAUGGAUAUCAUUUGUGAUUAGAAAUGUGACUUUGACUAUCUGCUUUUGACUCCUUUGGCCUAGACUGUGGAUCUGGAUUCUACUGGCUCAGGAAAAUCAGGAUGAAGACCAGGAGAGCAGGGACAGAAGCAGCAAACAUCAUCCAGAUUGGGAAAUCACGUUGUGGUCCCAGUGGAUGAAUAAUCCAGCCCUGAUCACUGGAAUUGGAGCUCUGUCAGUAAAAUGUCAGGGAGCUGCUGGAUUGCACACAGAGCUUGCUGAGCCUGCAGUGUGGAGUGGUCCAAAUUCGAAGACCCCUUAAUGUGUGGGGGGUCAUGAAUUAACUGUAAUCAGGUAACAUAGGUUUAAAUAUGAUGUAUAUGUCUAUACAGUGUUGUAAAGCAUGCCUGUUAUACCACUUACACAUUUGAAGAAAAUGCAUUAUUUUCUUAGUUUAGAUAAAUACACACGCCACAUACUAAUGCCAGCCAACUGCAUGCAGCCUCCAAAUUUCACCCUACCAUACAUCUGUAUGUCACACUUAUAGGCAAUGUAGACACAAUAUGCCAUCUGCAUGCCCAUUAUACAUAUGCGUUUUGCACACACAUGCACACACUCUACAAACAUGCUACACAUACACAUCCACACAAUCAUAUUCAGGACCGUUAUAGAUCAUGAUUUACACAUGCAAUCCUUUCAUUUUCACACAAACAAGUGCACCCAAACUCAAUACACAUCAUGAGUAACCAUGCCCAGCAACAUAGCCGUGCACACACAGCUACAUUGUCUUUACACAAUCAUGUGCUCACACAUGUAGGUAUCUCCAUCCAGAAUCAAACACAUGCAACUGUACACACUCCCUCUAUCUCCUAUAUGCAAAGUUACACACUCAACCACAUGCAUGUGCAAAACACAUAAACACCUGACAUCACAUAUCACUGCUGCACAAGCCCAUUCCUACCCAUAUGGACACUCCCACACCUGAACUAAAUACACAUGUCCUGUUGCAAGUGUAAUCCCAACUUCAUACAUAGGCACAUGCGUGUGCAAUGCAUGCAACCAUACCCUCAGCCCCCUACCCUGCACACACGCAUACACUAUUGCAAGCAUAUUUUCUUAUGAUCUCCCGCAUGCAUUUGCACUCCACACACACCAACACAAAUAGCUAAGAGGAAGAACUGUGCCUAGCUCUGGGAGAGGAUCUGGAAGGAAAAGACAGCCGCACUCUGCAGACCAGCCUGCCAUCAGACCAGAGAAAGACACUGUGGACAAACAGACAACGGGACUCAAUGCCUCAGUGACAUAUGUAGCACCACCCUGGAAGAUCACGCAACUAGUGCGAGGCCUGUCACCUUGGCAACCUUGGGCUAGCUUGCCAUGGCAAUUACACCUCAUUGAACUGAACUGAAGAGCAGUCUUCAUGCUCGGCCCCCAU